UAUGCAAUUAUUUUGCGUUGAUUGUACCUUCAGAGUAAGCCCCGGCUAACUACGUGCCAGCAGCCGCGGUAAUACGUAGGGGGCUAGAGUUGUCCGGAUUUACUGGGUGUAAAGGGUGCUCAGGCGGAUUUGUAAGUCAGAGGUGAAAUCCCAAAGCUUAACUUUGGAGCUGCCUUUGAUACUGCAAGUCUUGAGUGUGAGAGAGGGUAAUGGAAUAUCUGGUGUAGCAGUGAAAUGCGUAGAUAUCAGAUAGAACACCAAUGGCGAAGGCAGUUUACCUGGCUCAAUACUGACGCUAAAGCACGAAAGUGUGGGGAGCAAACAGGAUUAGAUACCCUGGUAGUCCACACCCCUAAACGAUGAAUACUAGAUGUUGGUCCUUUUCAGGGUCAGUAUCCAAGCUAACGCAUUAAGUAUUCCACCUGGGAAGUACAAUCGCAAGGUUGCCCACUCAAAGGAAUUGACGGGGGCCCGCACAAGCAGUGGAGCAUGUGGUUUAAUUCGACGCAACGCGAAGAACCUUACCUAGGCUUGAAGCGCAAGUUAUAUCCUGAUGAAAGUUCGGGGUGCCGCAAGGCGAACUUGUACAGGUGCUGCAUGGCUGUCGUCAGCUC
rnacentral:rRNA from 1 species